rnacentral:rRNA from 1 species
UCUGGUUGAUCCUGCCUGAACUGAUGUGUUUAUUUCAAAGAUUAAGCCAUGCAUGUAUAAGUUUAAUCGUUUAUCGAGAAACCGCGAACGGCUCAUUACAAUGGCCAUUAUUUACUUGAUCUUGAUUGUCUAAAUGGAUAACUGUGGAAAAGCUAGAGCUAAUACAUGCACUAAAGCUUUGUCCUUACGGAAAAGCGCAUUUAUUAGAACAAAACCACGCGGCUUCGGCUGCUUCUUGUUGACUCAGAAUAACUUAGCUGACCGCAUGGCCUUGUGCCGGCGGCGUGUCUUUCAAGCGUCCACUUUAUCAACUUGACGGAGCAUAAUCGACUCCCGUGGUGGUGACGGAUAACGGAGGAUCAGGGUUCGACUCCGGAGAAGGGGCCUGAGAAAUGGCCACUACGUCUAAGGAUGGCAGCAGGCGCGCAAAUUACCCACUCUCGGCUCGAGGAGGUAGUGACGAGAAAUAACGAGACUGUUCUCUUUGAGGCCGGUCAUCGGAAUGGGUACAAUUUAAACCCUUUAACGAGUAUCAAGCAGAGGGCAAGUCUGGUGCCAGCAGCCGCGGUAAUUCCAGCUCUGCAAAUACAUAGAAUUAUUGCUGCGGUUAGAAAGCUCAUAGUUGGAUUCGUAUCGAUACCUUGGAACCCUUCGGGUGUCUCUAGGUGUUAUCGAUUUAUCGUAAUGUUCGGUUUUGAGUCCUUAACAGGAUUCUUAACAGGCAUUGCAAGUUUACUUUGAACAAAUCAGAGUGCUUCAAACAGGCGUUUUCGCUUGAAUGAUCGUGCAUGGAAUAAUAGAAAAUGAUUUCGGUUCAGUUUUAUUGGUUUUACGGACUGAGAUAAUGGUUAACAGAGACAAACGGGGGCAUUUGUAUGGUCCCGUGAGAGGUGAAAUUCUUGGACCGUGGCCAGACAAACUACAGCGAAAGCAUUUGCCAAGAAUGUUUUUAUUAAUCAAGAACGAAAGUCAGAGGUUCGAAGGCGAUCAGAUACCGCCCUAGUUCUGACCGUAAACGAUGCCAACUAGCGAUCCGCCGAUGGAAAUUAUAUUGCCUUGGUGGGGAGCUUCCCGGAAACGAAAGUCUUCCGGUUCCGGGGAAGUAUGGUUGCAAAGCUGAAACUUAAAGGAAUUGACGGAAGGGCACCACCAGGAGUGGAGCCUGCGGCUUAAUUUGACUCAACACGGGGAAACUCACCCGGCCCGGACACUUUUGGUCUACCUCAGGCAAAGUAGACCAAAGUGCAAUUGACCAAGUGUCGUAGGGUUCAGGCAAUAGGGUUCCCCCAGGCAAUCAAAUUUCACCAGGCAUUUUUGGUUUAGAGUCUGUGACGAUCCGAUUAAAAAUUGCCUCAGGCAAAGUAGACCAAAGUGCAAUUGACCAAGUGUCGUAGGGUUCAGGCAAUAGGGUUCCCCAGGCAAUCAAAUUUCACCAGGCAUUUUUGGUUUAGAGUCUGUGACGAUCCGAUUAAAAAUUGCCUCAGGCAAAGUAGACCAAAGUGCAAUUGACCAAGUGUCGUAGGUUCAGGCAAUAGGGUUCCCCCAGGCAAUCAAAUUUCACCAGGCAUUUUGGUUUAGAGUCUGUGACGAUCCGAUUAAAAAUUGCCUCAGGCAAAGUAGACCAAAGUGCAAUUGACCAAGUGUCGUAGGUUCAGGCAAUAGGGUUCCCCCAGGCAAUCAAAUUUCACCAGGCAUUUUUGGUUUAGAGUCUGUGACGAUCCGAUUAAAAAUUGCCUCAGGCAAAGUAGACCAAAGUGCAAUUGACC